rnacentral:tRNA from 1 species
GUGGGUAUGGCGCAGUUGGUUAGCGCAUCAGAUUGUGGCUCUGGGGGUCGUGGGUUCGAGUCCCAUUACCCACC